rnacentral:rRNA from 1 species
AAAGCUUGUGACGGAUCCCUUGGUAUCUAGAAGUUAAAUAGGACGUGAUUUACCUGCGAUAAGUUUCGGGGAGUAGGAGAAAGCUUUGAUCCGGAAAUUUCCUAAUUUUUUUCUGAAUCUAUAAGGAAAAAGAAUCAACCUAGGGAACUGAAACAUCUUAGUACCUAGAGGAAAAGAAAGUAAAAACGAUUCCCGUAGUAGUGGCGAACGAACUGGGAUGUAUUGUCUAAACCAUUCUUAUUAGGAAUGGGGUUAUAGGGUAAAAGAUUAGACAAAGAACAAUGGUAGGUGAAAUUGUUGGAAAGCGAUACCCAAGAAAGUGAUAGUCUUGUAACCGAAACCAAUUUCUUUGACUUUUUUAUUCCUGAGUAGUAUGGAACACGAGGAAUUCCGUAUGAAGUUACGAAGACCACUUCGUAAGACUAAAUAUUCCUAGAUAUCCGAUAGCGAAAUAGUACCGUGAGGGAAUGGUGAAAAAGAACCCCGGGAGGGGAUUGAAAAAGAACGUGAAAUUGCAAGCUUACAAACAGAAGAAACUCCUUUUUUAGUAGUAUUUCUUCGUGCCUGUUGAAGAAUGUUCCGGCGAGUUAUAGUUAGUGGCGGGUUAAAAUAGAGAUAUUGGAGCCAUAGUGAAAGCGAGCUUGAAUAGAGCGAAAGUCACUAAUUAUAGACCCGAACCCGCUUGAUCUAACCAUGUCCAGGGUGAAACUUAGGUGACACUAAGGGGAGGCCCGAACCGACUAAUGUUGAAAAAUUAGCGGAUGAGGUGUGGUUAGGGGUGAAAUGCCAAUCGAAAGCGGAGCUAGCUGGUUCUCCCCGAAAUGUAUUGAGGUGCAGCGGUUAAUCUUUUAGCAUAGGGGUAAAGCACUGUUUUAAACGGGGCCACAACAACUGGUACCUUAUUGAGGCAAACUCUGAAUACUAUGUGUACAAUUAACCAGUAAGACUAUGAGGGAUAAGCUUCAUUGUCAAGAGGGAAACAGCCCAGAUCACCAGUUAAGGCCCCUAAAUGAUUACUAAGUGAAAAAGGAAGUGAAAAGGCUAAAACAACCAGGAGGUUCGCUUAGAAGCAGCAAUCCUUUAAAAAGUGCGUAAUAGCUUACUGGUCUAGCAGUUUUGCGCCGAAAAUUUUUGGGACUAAGUAAUUUGCCGAAGCUGUGAGAUAUAAACAAUUAUAUCGGUAGGGGAGCGUUCCACAGUAGAAUGAAGUGAACACGAAAGUGUUUAUGGACGAACUGGAAGUGAGAAUGUCGGAUUGAGUAGCGAAAACAAUGGUGAGAAUCCAUUGCUCCGAAACCCUAAGGUUUCCUCUGGAAGGCUCGUCCGCAGAGGGUUAGUCAGGUUCUAAGAUGAGGCUGAAAAGCGUAGUCGAUGGAUAAUGGGUUAAUAUUCCUAUACUAAUACCUAUCGUUUUUUCUUUUUUUAUUUUAAAAAAAAAUCAAAAUCAGAAAAAAUUGAAAGAAAAAUGACGAAGAAGGCUAGGUUAGCCAAUGAAUGGUUUUUGGUUUAAGCUAUUAAGAUUGAUACUCAAGAUUCAUUAUUGCUUUAAAGUUAAAGCAAGAUCGGAAAUUGUCAGUUGAAAUACCAAUACAAGAUUUUAAGAAUCAAAGUAACUAAUGUCAUACUUCCAAGAAAAGUUUUUCUUUUGAAAAGAUAGCGAAUUAUCUGUACCAGAAACCGACACAGGUGGGGAAGUAGAGAAUACUAAGGAGCGCGAGAGAACCCUCCUUAAGGAACUCGGCAAAAUAGCUCUGUAACUUCGGAAGAAAGAGCGCCCAUUGGGCUGAAAUAUCAAGUUCCAAGCAACUGUUUAACAAAAACACAGGUCUCCGCUAAGUUGUAAAACGACGUAUGGGGGCUGACGCCUGCCCAGUGCCGGAAGGUUAAAAAAGUGAGUCAAGAGUUUUCUGAAGCUUAUGAUUGAAGCCCCGGUGAACGGCGGCCGUAACUAUAACGGUCCUAAGGUAGCGAAAUUCCUUGGCGGGUAAAUUCCGUCCUGCAUGAGUAGCGUAACGACUGCUUCACUGUCUCGCAUAUAUUUUUGAUGAAUUUGAAAUACCCGUGAAGAUGCGGGUUACUUACGAUUAGACGGAAAGACCCUAUGCACCUUUACUAUGAUCAUUCGUUGUUUUGUUGGUACUCUCUGUGUAGCAUAGAUGGGAGCUACGGCGUCAUUGAAAUACCAUCCUGAGGGUCCAAUCUUAACUAACCUUUACCAGGGGACAGCGUGUGAGAGGUAGUUUGGCUGGGGCGGCCGCCUCCUAAAAAGUAACGGAGGCGCACAAAGGUAAGCUUAGAUUUUAUAUUGUUAAGGGUAAUGACAUAUGGUUGCCUGACUGUCAGACUGACAAGUCGAACAGGGACGGAAGUCGGUCAUAGUGACCCGGUAGCUUUUAGUGAAAAAGCUAUCGCUCAACGAAUAAAAGGUACGCUAGGGAUAACAGGCUGAUGGUUUUAGAGAGUUCUUAUUGACAAGACCGUUUGGCACCUCGAUGUCGGCUCAUCACAUCCUGAAGCUGUAGAAGGUUUCAAGGGUUCGACUGUUCGCCGAUUAAAGUGGUACGUGAGCUGGGUUCAGAACGUCGUGAGACAGUUCGGUCCCUAUCUGUCGUAAGUUGGGAAAAUUGAGAGGACUAAAUUCUAGUACGAGAGGACCGGAUUAAGUAAACCUAUGGUGUAUUGGUUGUCGACAAGAUUUUUAAAUAGAUAUCUCUAUUUAAUUAAUAUUAUUGUUU